ACACCGUUGGUGAAACGGUAUCAUGCACCGUUGCCAUUUGGACUCAACUUCUCUUCAAAACGGAUUCGGUGCGGCAAGGGUUCGACUCCCUUACGGUGUA
rnacentral:tRNA from 1 species